rnacentral:rRNA from 1 species
UACGUAGGGGGCAAGCGUUGUCCGGAAUCAUUGGGCGGAAAGAGCGUGUAGGCGGCCCGGUAAGUCCGCUGUGAAAGUCCAGGGCUCAACCCUGGAAAGCCGGUGGAUACUGCCGGGCUAGAGUCCGGAAGAGGCGAGUGGAAUUCCUGGUGUAGCGGUGGAAUGCGCAGAUAUCAGGAGGAACACCAAAGGCGAAGGCAGCUCGCUGGGACGGUACUGACGCUGAGACGCGAAAGCGUGGGGAGCAAACAGG